rnacentral:rRNA from 1 species
CAAAGAGCAUUUUAGUUUGACUCCCCGAAACCAAGUGAGCUACUCCAAGACAGCCUCCAAGGGCGCACCCGUCUCUGUGGCAAAAGAGUGGGAAGAUCAUUGAGUAGAGGUGACAGACCUACCGAACCUGGUUAUAGCUGGUUGCUCGGGAAAUGAAUAGGAGUUCAGCCUUUUGCCCCCUUUACUCAUAAACUGGCUACACUUCCAAGCACCAAAGUGGGACAAAAGAGUUAGUCAAAGGGGGUACAGCCCCUUUGAAUAAAGAUACAACUUUUCUAGAAGGGUUAAGAUCAUAACAGCAAGUAAGGGAAUGUGUUCUAGUUGGCCUAAGAGCAGCCACCCACACAGAAAGCGUUAAAGCUCAGACACCCCUCCACCCCUAUUAUCCGGACCACAUAAAUCUUACCCCCCUAAUCAUACCGAGCCUCCCCAUACCAAUAUGGGAGAGACUAUGCUAAUAUGAGUAAUAAGAGACCUAGAAUCUCUCCCAGCGCAAGUGUUCAUCGGAACGAACUGACACCGAAAAUUAACGGCCCCAAAAGAGGGUAUUGAAAUAUUAUAGCCAGACUACUAGGAGAGCAUCCAUACUCCCACCGUUGACCUUACACCAGAGCGCAUGCAAGGAAAGACUAAAAGAAAAAGAAGG